rnacentral:lncRNA from 1 species
CAGGAUGCCAUUCUGUGUGAGGCCUCUUGUCAGAAGUGGUUUCAUCGCAUCUGCACCGGAAUGACCGAAACAGCCUAUGGGCUGUUGACAGCUGAAGCAUCCGCAGUGUGGGGUUGUGACACGUGCAUGGCUGACAAGGAUGUCCAGCUAAUGCGCACUAGAGAGGCCUUUGGUCCACCUGCCGUGGGCAGCGAUGCCUAAGCAUGGUUGUCAGCUAAUGUGGGUUCAUUUUUUCCCUGUAGAACAGAGAUUUGGUGACAUGGGAGUUUAAUGUUUGACAUUAUUUUUUUAAAUGCACACAAAAAUAUUACAUUUUAGUUCUUACUAACAUAAUGCUUCAUUUUAUUGUUUUUUGUUGUCUUAAAAUGAGAUUAAUGUGGGGGGUU